AACGUAGGUUCCGAGCGUUAUCCGGAUUUACUGGGCGUAAAGCGCGUUCAGGCGGUUUGGCAAGUCGGGCAUGAAAUCCUUCGGCUCAACCGGGGGAGGUUGUCCGAUACUGCUGAGCUGGAGGGCAGUAGAGGGUGGUGGAAUUCCGGGUGUAGUGGUGAAAUGCGUAGAGAUCCGGAGGAACACCAGUGGCGAAAGCGGCCACCUGGACUGCACCUGACGCUGAAACGCGAAAGCUAGGGGAGCGAACGGG
rnacentral:rRNA from 1 species